GCAAAUAUCCCAGAUAGCAUGUAGUAAUUGGCCCGAACUCGGUAGCCUUGCUAGGCUUAUGGCUCAGACUCUGCGUCAGCAGGUAUAAUUCAGGCAGAGUGUUGCCCGCAGCCAGGCUGUCUCACAAUUUUUUUUAGUUACGGCGUUAAAGCACUGGGACGAUUCUGGCUCCACGUUGCUGGGCCAGUUCAGGCCACUUGGUCUGGGUCUCUUCUGGUAAUGAUUCAACUUUGAUUGAUCUUUAGGCUGCAUUAUACUGUAUAUCUACCAUAAAAUAUACAUCAUUCACCUGUGAUGUCUAAUCAAUUGUAAACUGCAUGUUUAAAGGAAUAGUUCACCCAAAAAUGAAAAUUGUCUCAUUAUUCACUUACCCUGAUGCCAUCCCAGAUGUGUAUGACUUUCUUCAGCAGAACACAAAUGAAGAUUUUUAGAAGAAGUUAGAGCUCUGUCAGGUCCUUAUAAUGGAUGUACACGGGUGCCAGCACUUUGACGGUCCAAAAGUCACAUUUAGACAGCAUAAAAGUAAUCCAUUCGACUCCAGCCGAUCAAUGAAUGUCUUCUGAAGCGAAUCGAUAGGUUUAUGUAAGAAACAAGUGGAUAAUUAAAACGUUUUUAACUUUAAAUCAGCACUUCAAUCCAAGGCUCCCAACUCUCAUAUGACAUUCUUUCUUCUGUUGUAAAUAAACGCCUGUGGCAGGCCAGGUGGGGCGGAGCAAGGACGGAGAGGAGCGAGGCCGAGGUGUGCUCCUGGGGCAAAUGAUCUCGCCCAGCUGUGAGUAAUGACGGCGUGAGUAGGCGGGGGAUUAAGCCAGGAGCAGAGCUGCAGUUGGGAGAGUCAAAGUGGAUUUAGAUGCGGAACGGGAACAAUGGAUUCAGUAGUGAGUUUGGAAUCGGAUAUAAGGAAAGCCUUGAUAAAUAAAGAAACAGUACUAGCAAUUUUCUUUGAUAUUGAAAUGGCUUAUGAUAUGUUAUGGAAGGAAGGUUUGCUGAUAAAAUUAGAUCAGAUUGGAAUAGGUGGUAGGUUAUAUAAUUGGAUUAAAGAUUUUUUAAUAGAAAGAAAUAUAAAAGUGAAGAUUGGAGAAUAUAUAUCAGAAUAAAUGGGGAUUUAUAUUCUCUGUGGAGAAAACCAAAUAUAUUUUCUUUACAAAUAAAAAGAUAAGUAGAGAUAAAUCUAAAAUUAUAUAAUAAGGAAUUAGAACAAGUUAAAGUGAUAAGAUUCCUUGGAAUGUGGUUUGACACGACAAUUACAUGGAGUACUCACAUAAAUAAGAUGGAAGAGAAAUGUAAGAAGAUAUUAAAUGUAAUGAGGUGUGUUUCAGUUCGUGAAUGGGGGGCUGAUAGAAUGGCACUGAAAACCAUUUAUUCCACAAUGAUAAGAUCAAUACUAGACUAUGGAUGUAUGGCUUAUGGUUCAGCAUCUUAAUCACAAUUUGGAAAAUUAGAGAGAAUUCAGUCACAAGCAUUAAGAAUUUGUUGUGGAGCUUAUCCUUCUUCUCCAGUACCAGCAUUACAGGUGGAGAUGGGAGAGAUGCCAAUCCACUUAAGAAGGAAGCAACUGAUAUUGACAUACUGGACAAACUUAAAAAGUCAGAAGGAUAAUCACCCUGCAAAAAAGGUACUAGAGGCAUGUUGGGAACAUGGGAAGGGGAAAAUUAAUAGUUUUGGCUGGAUUAUUAAGGAUUUAGUGCAGGAUAUGAAAUUAAACAAGUAUAAUGUUACCCCAGUGGUAAUAUUAUCAUCAGUAACUCUGUGGAUCUUACCACAGCCAAACGUUGAUUUAUUCCUAUUGGAAGCAAGACAAGGGUCAAAAUGCAUUAGAGUCUGAAUUAACAAAGGAGUAUUUAUGGACUAAGUAUGAAAGUUAUAUACAGGUUUUUACAGAUGCAUCUAAAGAUCCAGGGAAAGGUCAGGUGGGGGUAGCAUACAUCAUCCCAAGACUGAAAGAGGCAGAAGGAAAAAGGAUAUCAGAUCAAGUUUCAGUGUUUACAGGAGAAUUACUAGCAAUUUUGCUAGCAAUGAACAAAAUAAAAGAUAUGGGAUUAAACAAAACUCUCAUAUGUUCAGAUUCAAGCUCUGCUCUGUUAAGUCUGGAGGCUCAACAGUCUGAAACUAGACAAGAUAUAUUGAUGGAGAUUAUUCAGAUAUGAUAUAUAAUGCAGCAGACAAAUAAGACGGGUUCCUGCGCAUAUUGGAGUAUCAGGGAAUGAGGAAGCAGAUAAAUUAGCAAAACAAGUUAUGGCAAAGGAAAAUAUAGACAUGCAAAUAAUGUAUAGUAAAUCAGAAAAAAGGAGUUAAAUCAUAAAUGGCAAUUUUAUUGGGAUAAUGAACAAAAGGGCAGGCAUCGACAUUUAAUACAACCAUUAGUAGGAGGAGGAAGGAAUUCAGGUGGGAGGAGAAAAGAAGAUUGUAUUUUAUCUAGACUCAGACUGGGACAUACAGGACUUAACUCAACAAUUUAUAUAAUAGGAAAACAUCUUACAGGAUUAUGUGAUUGGUGCGGAGUUAGAGAAACAGUGGAACAUGUAUUAAUACAGUGUAACAGAUAUACAGAGGAAAGAAAUAAACUAACAGAUGAAUUACAGAAGAAAGGAGAACAGCAAUUAACCUUAAAGAAGCUUUUAAAUCCAGUAAGAGGGGAUAGUCUAUUAAUACAAUUUCUGAAUAGAAUUCGGUUAACUGAAAGAAUAUAGCUAGGUUUUUUUCUUUUCUUUUUUCCUUCCUUCCUCCUCUCUCUGGGCAGUGAGGGACUUGGGGCUGAAAAUGGAGGAGCUGAACACGCAGCGCCAUCGGAAGCACAAGUCCUAAAAGGUCUGGGGAGAGAAGGAAAAGAGUCUCUGAUCCGUAACACACAGUGGAUGGCGGUAGUGCUCUAUUUUAGAAUGCGAGCCGCCAAUAAAAAAGAAGUAGUAGUAGUUGGGAGAGAGACGCCGAGGAGACAUCUUGAAGCUGUGUGUGUUUAUGUUGUGUGAUGUGGUGUUUGGAUUAAAGUUUGUUCAAUGUGCAUCCGGCUCCAAAACGCUAUCCGGGAGAACUCGCCACUGCCAUCCGCCAGGGGGCACGGGAGCCUAAGAAGAAUAUUUCUGUCUCUUCUCUCUCUCCCUCUCUUUCCCUCUUUCUCCCUCCCUCUUGUGCUCUCUCCGUCUCUUGCUUACCCACCCUCUAGAGUGGUGCCUGAGUAGCAGAGGCGGGGAAAACCAUACGGCGCUGGGUCGACUGGAAGAACCAUGGUUCCUCUCCAGAGUGGGAGGAGAGUAAGUACAGGCCGGAUAGGUCUCCGGCCUGAAUCAGGCAAUGGGGGAGUGUGGCAGGCCAGACAGGGUGGAGCGAGGAUGGAGAGGAGCGAGGCCGAAGUGUGCACCUGGGGCGAAUGAUCUCGCCCAGCUGUGAGUGAUGACGGCGUGAGUAGGCGGGGGAUGAAGCUAGGAGCAGAGCUGCAGUUGGGAGAGAGAUGCCGAGAGAGACACAUCUUGAAGCUGGGUGUGUUUAGUUUGAUGUGGUAUUUGGAUUAAAGUUUGUUGAACGUGCAUCCAGCUCCAGCUUCCUCCUUUCCCGACCGAACAGAGGUCUUUUCACAGCACCAUGAAAUAUGCUUUGAUUUGAUUAAAAAUUACAUAAAAAUGGGAGAAGUUUGAAAAAGACAACUUGGGUAAGCAUCGUUGCACAUUUACAUUUAGCGUAUUAAUUUAGCAGAUGGUCUUAAAGGGACAAAAAGCACUUUAACUUCUUAAGCAAAACUGCCGCGAUCGAUUAGCUUAGUUUAUCUCAAUACUGUUUUGUUCUCAGAACUGCAGUCAAUAAACUAGAUAUUUUUUCAUGUUUAAUCUGUGAAUUGUUGAAAGUGGUGUGUUUUGAGCGCCCUACACUACGCUGCACUGAAACUUUGUCGAGGAACACUCUGAUGAGGAAGAGGAUGAUGAUGGAAAAAAGAGCAGGUUUGUUUGUAUUUGUAUGUUUUUGUUUCCGCCGUCUGUACCAAAGUCGUCAUUCUUAUUUCAUAAAGGCAUUUGUAUUAAGAAAUAGUUACAUUUUUCCUAUUUUUUCGGGCAAAAAAGGCAGGUAAGUUUGAAGAGGAUUAGUUUGUACUGGUCUUUAUUUCAAAAUAACCUCAAAUUCUCUGACUGAACUAGAAGGAAGCAUCCAGACAAUAAAGUCAUUGGUAAGUUGUAAAUUUGUAUGUAAAUAUAAGAUACAGGCAGUGCAUGUCAGCAUGACUUUACCAAGUAAAUGCCAUGUUUUAUUCCAUGUUUGUUUUCAGGAGGUGUAAUAUGCAAUAACUGGCUGAAUCUCAACAGAAGAGACAUGUUCAGCAGAUCAUAGGGAAGCUUUGGCAGAUCCUUGGCUAAAGGAGGUGUAAUAUGCAAUAACUGGCUGAAUCUCAACAGAAGAGACAUGUUCAGCAGAUCAUAGGGAAGCUUUGGCAGAUCCUUGGCUAAAGGUACAGUAAAACUCCAGAAAAACUCCUAAACAAAGAAUUCGCUGGAUAAAGAUUUGGAAAGACAUGUUGCACAAUAAUCAUGAAAAUCUCCUGAUAGAGAUGCUGGAAGGUUGUUGCUUUACUCAAAAAAUUAUCCCUUAUAAGUUCGAUUCAAACAAAUGGUUUAAAUUAUGUAAAUAAGUUUAUGUUUGCUAAGUAUAAAAUUAGUUCAAUUAAUGUCAAAGAAAAUAGCUGCUUUGCCUUUUACCAAACUGUAUUGUUUAAAAUACAUUAGUUAUUAUACUGUAUAUAAGUUCAUACUCAUUUACAUUUUAUUCACAUAUAUUCUGUAUUCAUAAUAUGUACUUUAUUUAACGAUUACUCAGUUCAGUGAAUUUGUUUAAAAAUUACUCAAUUUAAAGAUUUAAUACAUCAAUGUGAGUUGUAAAUUGUCUUUCUUGCAUAUUUAUUUAUAUAGGCAUAAUUACUGUUUGUAAAACAUUUUCAUGCACAUGUAUUAUAUGCUAAAAUAUUUGUAAAAUGUUGUACUUUUUAAAACUAUACUUAUUCAACAAUUGCUGUUUGUGUAAUGUUGUAAAUAAACAUUCUUCUUGCAUUCAUGCAGUGCUUGAAGUGGAAGAAAAAAGCACAGGUACUCUCCUUGUUAUUAUUAAACUUGACUUUUUUUGGGUA